CUAGUUCUGUUAUUUAAAGUAAAUUUCUCUCAUAUCCCUGUGCACACAUGUUCCACCUGAAACUGAUCUGGUUGAUUAAACUAAUUUGCGUAGGAUUUGUGCUGGUUGCAACACAGAGAUUGGCCAUGGACGGUAUUUGAGCUGCAUGGGUGCAGUUUGGCACCCAGAAUGCUUCUGUUGUCAUGCUUGCAAUCUACCCAUUUCGGAUUAUGAGUUCUCAAUGUCUGAUAAUCACCCUUAUCACAAAUCCUGCUACAAGGAGCACUACCAUCCAAAAUGUGAUGUUUGUAAGCAGUUUAUUCCUACAAAUGC